rnacentral:rRNA from 1 species
AGAGUUUGAUCCUGGCUCAGGAUGAACGCUGGCGGCGUGCUUAACACAUGCAAGUCGAACGAUGAAGCCCAGCUUGCUGGGUGGAUUAGUGGCGAACGGGUGAGUAACACGUGAGCAACCUGCCCCUGACUCUGGGAUAACAGCCGGAAACGGUUGCUAAUACCGGAUAUGCAUCAUGGCCGCAUGGUCUGUGGUGGGAAAGAUUUUUCGGUUGGGGAUGGGCUCGCGGCCUAUCAGCUUGUUGGUGAGGUAGUGGCUCACCAAGGCGUCGACGGGUAGCCGGCCUGAGAGGGUGACCGGCCACACUGGGACUGAGACACGGCCCAGACUCCUACGGGAGGCAGCAGUGGGGAAUAUUGCACAAUGGGCGGAAGCCUGAUGCAGCAACGCCGCGUGAGGGAUGACGGCCUUCGGGUUGUAAACCUCUUUUAGCAGGGAAGAAGCGAAAGUGACGGUACCUGCAGAAAAAGCGCCGGCUAACCACGUGCCAGCAGCCGCGGUAAUACGUAGGGCGCAAGCGUUAUCCGGAAUUAUUGGGCGUAAAGAGCUCGUAGGCGGUUUGUCGCGUCUGCUGUGAAAACCCGAGGCUCAACCUCGGGCCUGCAGUGGGUACGGGCAGACUAGAGUGCGGUAGGGGAGAUUGGAAUUCCUGGUGUAGCGGUGGAAUGCGCAGAUAUCAGGAGGAACACCGAUGGCGAAGGCAGAUCUCUGGGCCGUUACUGACGCUGAGGAGCGAAAGGGUGGGGAGCAAACAGGCUUAGAUACCCUGGUAGUCCACCCCGUAAACGUUGGGAACUAGUUGUGGGGGCCUUUCCGCGGUC